rnacentral:rRNA from 1 species
CAGUCGCCGCGGGAAUACGAAGGGGGCUAGCGUUGCUCGGAAUGACUGGGCGUAAAGGGCGCGUAGGCGGUUUGAACAGUCAGAUGUGAAAUUCCUGGGCUCAACCUGGGGGCUGCAUUUGAUACGUUUAGACUAGAGUGGGGAAGAGGGUCGUGGAAUUCCCAGUGUAGAGGUGAAAUUCGUAGAUAUUGGGAAGAACACCGGUGGCGAAGGCGGCGACUGGUCCUUGACUGACGCUGAGGCGCGAAAGCGUGGGGAGCAAACAGGAUUAGAUACCCCUGUAGUCCCUGUCUCUUAUACC